UUUCUGAACUUUCCUAGUUCUGUUCCUCUUUCCUACAUUUAUCUGGAUUUCUGAACUUUCCUAGUCUGUUCCCCUUUCCUAUAUUUAUCUGGAUUUUGUGAGACUCAGGUCAAGUGAAUACAUAAUAGGAAUAUGGCUCGCACACUUAUUCUAAGAAGAGGGACUAUGUCUGUUUUGUUUACUAUUGUAUACCCUGCAGUUAGCACAGUGCCCAAACUUAGUAAGUAUCCGUGAAAAUAUGAAUGAAUGAAUGAAACUAUUACAUAACAGUUCCCAUUCCAACCUUAGUCUGGCAUAACAGCUGAAUUGAGUUGAUGGACAGCUGAACCAAUCAUUACGUAGAGAAGCCUUUAGCUUUUCAUUAGGGAUGAAACAGCUUCAACCUGUUUCUGCUUUUGGCAUCUUUCGGAUGGGGCCUUAGAUUGGGUAAGGUUGGCUACUUUAGCACUUACACAAGAUGGGAGGUGAUGGUCGUAAAGAUUUAAAAAGGCAGAGCCCUUGCCUUUUGUAACGAGAUACACAUGUGUUAACGUAUUUUGAGGACGCGAGUACACUAAGGCUCUACAUAAGAGGAAUGCCAAGCCUUUUCUCUUUUUCUUUUUUCUUUUCAUUUGGGGUGGUUCAGAGAAGUCAUCUGGACUAAGCGUUGUUUAUGCUGAUGUCUCAAACGAUGUAGAACUGACCAGGUGAAGGAAAUGAGGGGCUUUGGGACGUGUUCCUUCCAGAGGAAAGAUCUCGGAGAAGAUCUUAUCAUGCAGUGCUGGAACCUAGAAGUCAGAGAACACGGUCCUGUUCUGAUUCAAGCUGUGUCAUUUCAAUCGGAAGGACAACCUUGAGCAUGUCUUGCAGCUCAGCUCUACUACAGAUGAACUCUUCAAGUUUUUAUUUAUCUGGGAAUGUCUUAAGUUUCUCCUUUAUUUUUGAAGGAUGGUUUUGCCAGACAUAAAUUCUUGAUUGACAAUUAUUUUUUCUUUAAGUACUUGAAUUGUGUCAUCCCACUGCCUUCUGGUCUCCAUAGUUUCUGAUGAGAAAUCAAUUGCUGGUCUUAUUAAGGAUCCCUUACACAGAUGAGUUGUUUCUCUAAGCUGCUUUCAAGAUUCUUGUAUUUGACAUUCAACAGUGUGAUUACGAGACACCACAGUGCAAAGCUCUUUGAUUUUAUUCUACUUGGAGUGUAUUGAGCUUCUUGGAUGUGUAUGUUAAUAUUAUUUAUACAAUUAUGAGAGUUCAGCCAUUAUUCCUUCAAAUAUUCUUCCUGUCACUUUUUCUCCCCUUCUUCUGGGAUCCUCUUGUGCAUAUAUUGGUGUCCCAAGGGAUUUUAGGCUCUGGUAAUUUUUUUUCAUUGUUUUUUUCUCUUCCUCAGACAAGAUGAUUUCACUUGUCUCAUCUUCAAGUCAUUUAUUCUUCUGCCUGCUCAAAACUGCCAUUGAGCCCUUGUAGUGAAGUUUUCAUUUCAGUUAUUGGACUUUGCAAUUCCAAAAUUUCUACUUGGGUCUAUUUUUAAAAUUUCUAUAUCUUGAUUAAUAUUCUUUAUUUGGUGAGACAUUGUUCUCAUGGUUUCCUUUAAGUCUGUAUCUGUGAUUUCCUUUAGCUGUUCGACCAUAUUUAAAAUAGUUACUUAAAGGUCUUUGUGCCAGUUUCUAUUUAUUGGCUUUUUCCCUAUGGAUUAGUCAUGCAAAAGAACUGUUAAUUUACAUAUUUCAUGAUGUUUUGUUGAAAACUGGACAUUUUGAAUAUUAUAAUGUGACAACUCUUGAAAUCAAACUCUGCUCUCUCCUCAGAGGUUUUGUUGCUUUGUGUUAUAUUUGUUGUUUGUUGACAGAGUGACUGAAAAUUAAUUUUGUAAAGUCUCUAUCUCUUGUAUGUGGCCACUGAAGUCUUUUCAUGAAAUUGGUGGUCACCUAGUGGUCACCUAGUGACUGUAUAGCAAUUUCCUAACAUAACGGAACCCACAACAAUAACAAACAAACACAAAAUUUCCCAGUAUUUUUAUAUGUGUUCUGCAUAUCUGUAUUGACUCUUGCUUUUCUCUAGUGUACAUUUACUGUGGAUUUUUUUGACUUCUGCUAUCUUCAU